ensembl:ncRNA F25D1.10 ncRNA
UCCCGUCCUUCUUUCUUUUCUGUCUUUAACGUCGUCGUCCACAUGGACAGGGAGAAAAGAGGCAAACUGAGAGAGGAAAACAAUCGAAAGAUGCGGUCGAAUCGAGGGCACACACGCACACUUGGAGAAACGAACGAGUGCAGUAGAA